CGAGUGCGGGCCCUCUGGGUCCAACCUCCCAUCCGUGUCUAUCUGUACCCUGUUGCUUCGGCGUGGUUACGGCCCGCCGAAGACUAACAUUUGAACACUGUCUGAAGUUUGCAGUCUGAGUUUUUAGUUAAACAAUAAUUAAAACUUUCAACAACGGAUCUCUUGGUUCCGGCAUCGAUGAAGAACGCAGCGAAAUGCGAUAAUUAAUGUGAAUUGCAGAAUUCAGUGAAUCAUCGAGUCUUUGAGCGCACAUUGCGCCCCCUGGUAUUCCGGGGGGCAUGCCUGUCCGAGCGUCAUUGCUGCCCUCAAGCACGGCUUGUGUGUUGGGCUUCCGUCCCUGGUAACGGGGACGGGCCCAAAAGGCAGUGGCGGCACCAUGUCUGGUCCUCGAGCGUAUGGGGCUUUGUCACCCGCUCCCGUAGGUCCAGCUGGCAGCUAGCCUCGCAACCAAUCUUUUUAACCAGGUUGACCUCGGAUCAGGUAGGGAUACCCGCUGAACUUAAGCAUAUCAAUAA
rnacentral:rRNA from 1 species